UGCAUUGGAAACUGGUAGACUUGAGUGCAGGAGAGGAUGAGUGGAAUUCCCAUGUGUAAGCGGUGAAAAUGCGUAGAUAUAUGGAAGGGAACACCGGUGGCGAAAAGCGGCUCCUCUGGCCUGUAACUGACACUGAAGCUCGAAAAGCGUGGGGGAGCAAACAGGAUUAGAUACCCCUGGUAGUCCCACGCCGGUAAACGAUGAGUGCUAGAUGUAUGGAGCCUAUAAGUUCUCUGUAUCGCAGCUAACGGCAAUAAGCACUCCGCCUGGGGGAGUACGACCGCAAGGUUGAAACUCAAAGGAAUUGACGGGGGCCCGCACAAACGGUGGAGCAUGGUGGUUUAAUUCGAAGCAACGCGAAGAACCUUACCAGGUCUUGACAUACUCGUGCUAUUCCUAGAAAUAGGAAGUUCAUUCGGGACACGGGAUACAGGUGGGUGCAUGGGUUGUCCUCAGCUCCUGUCCCUGAAAAUGUUUGGGCUUAAAUCCCCCAACCAACCGCAACCCCCUAUUGGUUAGUUGGCCAUCCAUUAAAUUUGG
rnacentral:rRNA from 1 species